UACGGGGGGGGCAAGCGUUGUUCGGAAUUACUGGGCGUAAAGGGCUCGUAGGCGGCCAACUAAGUCAGACGUGAAAUCCCUCGGCUUAACCGGGAAACUGCGUCUGAUACUGGAUGGCUUGGAUUUGGGAGAGGGAUGCGGAAUUCCAGGUGUAGCGGUGAAAUGCGUAGAUAUCUGGAGGAACACCGGUGGCGAAGGCGGCAUCCUGGACCAAUAUUGACGCUGAGGAGCGAAAGCCAGGGGAGCAAACGGG
rnacentral:rRNA from 1 species